rnacentral:lncRNA from 1 species
UGAGUUAUGACGCUCCCAGGUGAGCUGAACUCUGGAGUCAUAUAGAGGUUUACCUUCAGUGGCUACCACACUUUUCCUGUUUCUGUGACAAAUAACACAAAGGAAACUUGAAGGAACAAAUAUGUACCUCAGCAAAAUGUCAUGAAAAUAGACUCAGGGUAGAAACUUCCUCACUCCAAACCAGUGACUUGUGCAA